CAGCCGCCGCGGGAAUACGUAGGGGGCAAGCGUUAUCCGGAUUCAUUGGGCGUAAAGCGCUCGUAGGCGGUCUGUUAGGUCGGGAGUUAAAUCCGGAGGCUCAACCUCCGUUCGCUCCCGAUACCGGCAGACUUGAGUUUGGUAGGGGAAGGUGGAAUUCCUAGUGUAGCGGUGGAAUGCGCAGAUAUUAGGAAGAACACCAGUGGCGAAGGCGGCCUUCUGGGCCAUAACUGACGCUGAGGAGCGAAAGCUAGGGGAGCAAACAGGAUUAGAUACCCCAGUAGUCCCUGUCUCUUAUACA
rnacentral:rRNA from 1 species